UGUAUCCAUUUGACAAAAGCAGCAAAUACAUUGAGGCAGGGAUCUGCACAACCAUUUGUGAUGACUGAGAGCUGUAAGGGUAUAAAAUAAACAGCGCAAUCUGAUGCUAUCCAUCCACUUGCCUUUGCCUUGCACUGGAAGGAGGGACUAUGCCAUGGAAAAACAGGUCUGGAUCAGAGGAAAGAGCCUGUAAUGUGCACUGGAAAAUUAACUUCUGAAUUAGAGAAAUAAAAACUACCCAUCAGUGGUUUUAAACACACAGUGCAGCUGGUUUGGGUGUAAUUGUAUGUCACAUGUAUAAAAAAACCAACAGGUUAAGUGGUGCCUGGAAUUAUUCCUGUUGGACUGUAAACUUGUCAGCACAGCACUGCCAGCCCAGAGCCACACACACAUUGCAGGAGUGAUGUGAAGAGGGGCAGAAGGAUACAAAGCAGAAGGCUCAGAGGUUGGAGCCGAAGGCUGGAGGUGGACAUCCAGGUGAGGAGAGAUCCAGUUUGACUUGAGAGGAGCCCUGUCACCAAGGUGAUCGUGCAGCUGGUUUUCCAAUGUUUCUAAUACUCACUAAAUUUCUAUGAGCUUUCUAUUGAACUCCUAUUUCUUCUGAUACUGGCUCAGCAAUUGGAUCACCCCCGUGGCCAUUUAAGUAUAAGAUAGUUAGCAAGCCUACAUUUUAGAUUAACUGUACAGCAAAACAGUGUUGCAUGUCAUCACACAAAAACAUUCCUGAGUGCUGAAGGGUUGGUUGGCUGUUCUUGCAGGCUGUUCUCCCUGGCAUUGAAACACCUGUGUGGGUGCAGUCAGACCUGUGGGAGGCUGUGAUAAUGGAUGACGAAUUAAGUCCGAAGUCUUCUUCCUGAAAUGGGGUUGGCUGGCUGAGCUCCUGGACGUCACAGCUCCCUCUGUACAGCCACAGAGAUAGUUGCCUGUAGCACCUCCAGCCCUACUGUCACAGCUUCAGAUGUCAUUUGUUUCCAAAUAACGAGGCACAUCCCGUUGUGAUGUUCUGAUCCAGCAAACAGCCUCCGCUCUUCUUGUUCACUGGGGAAUGUACAUGCCUUGUGGAAGCUACUGCAGCAACAUUGAAGAGAAGGGAGUUCUCACAAUUGAAGCCAGCAGCCCUAUUUGUCUCUUCUGCUGAAGGAAAGCUAAACAUGCAAAUCGGGCAGGCGGCUGAGGAUCGUAAAAGGACGAGCAGGGUGCAAUAUACACAGGGAGGAAAACAAAGAGAGAUGAGUCCUGACAGCAGAGAAAUUAUACCUGGCUUCAUGUGAGGGCACAGACCUGGCCCUGGCUGCCCCAAGAUCACUGCACACUGCCAGCCAAGCUGUUCUCAUGCUUAAUUUACAGCCUGCAAGGUUCAUGCACCACCUAAUGAAAAAUCGCGAUGGGAACUUUGCAGGAGAAAGUAGGACAGUUGGCACAUUAUUCACAUUUCAGCAGAGGAGGGGAGAGCUCCUUUUGCCUCGAGAACUGACCUCAUGGUGGUUUGACCUGCACAGAGGGCUGUCAUCGGGGCUUUAUGAUCAUUCCAAUUUGGAUUGUAACGUUAUGCUGAAAGUAACACUGGACUCUAUUAUCUUGCUUUGCCCUUUCCAUAAUUCAACGCCAUGUUUGCAGCAUAGCAGCAGUUCGAGGAGUUUGAGAAGUUUUGGUGGAGGUAGUCCAGCCUCGAUGCUGAGCAUUGCUCAGCAGCAUCGUUCACUCUGGAUACAUCUCACGUGUGGGAAAAACAAUAAGAAUUACCUCAAGAUUACUCAUGUCCUCAAUUAGAAAUUGUUUUUCUCCUGUGACUUGUGUUGUUGGUAGCUGAAAUGGCUGUUCACACUACAAGUGGCCUUUUAUUCACCUGCCUUCAAGCACCCAGAGGCACCAACCAACUCCUUCCCUCCUUCCAUGAGGUUCUCUCUCUCUCUGUGGCUGAUAUUACCAAACUGAUAUCUUUAUUCUCACUGAUUUCAGGUGAAGCUUCUUUCUCCCCGUGAGUACCCAUCAGUCACUUCUCCAUUCAAGAGGCAGAACAUUGCUACCCAGACCUGCAUCUAAAAAGUACGAUUUUCUUGACAACACCAGUUGUUUCUCGCAGUCCACGUUCAGAAGGUCCCAUGGACAGAAUUACACUUUAUCCACUUGAACUUUCAUAGUUUCCAGAAGUUCAUACGAUCUUUUCCAAACUCCCCAUGUUACACAAUUUCCUUGUUCUUUGGAGCAACCUCUCAGGCAGAAGGGUAUUACUAUAUCUAUAGCUGUAGUCCCAGGUAAUUGAAUUCUCCUCUUCCUCUACAAUUUGGCUCUGAAUCACGUUCUUUUUAAAUAAUAAAGUAAAAUACAAAAUAAACAUGACUACACAUAUCUGUUUUGUUUGACACAGGUCUCAGUAACAGAAAAUGGGAUUUUACUCUGCUAAUAAACUGGUAGAGUUUGCCCUUUCCUAUGAUGCACAUGUGCCUCAUAGGUGAAUUUAUCUCCCUGCAUCUUAGCACUUUAAAGCAGUAAUAAAAGAUGCUGAAGGCUCUGUGACUUAGGAAUAUGUCUAACUAAGAACAAUUUUCUCACAAACCAAUUUUCG
rnacentral:lncRNA from 1 species